rnacentral:rRNA from 1 species
CCCUUAGAUGUUCUGGGCCGCACGCGCGCUACACUGAUGCAUUCAACGAGCCUAUCCUUGACCGACAGGUCCGGGUAAUCUUUGAAUCUGCAUCGUGACGGGGAUAGAUUAUUGCAAUUAUUAAUCUUCAACGAGGAAUGCCUAGUAGGCGCAAGUCAUCAGCUUGCGUCGAUUACGUCCCUGCCCUUUGUACACACCGCCCGUCGCUCCUACCGAUUGGGUGUGCUUGUGAAAUGUUCGGAUCGGCCGUUUGUCGCGGUUUCCGCGGCUCGUGGCUGAGAAGUUCAUUAAACCCUCCCACCUAGAGGAAGGAGAAGUCGUAACA